AUUACUAGCGAUUCCGGCUUCAUGCAGGCGAGUUGCAGCCUGCAAUCCGAACUGAGAAUGGUUUUAUGGGAUUGGCUAAACCUCGCGGUCUUGCAGCCCUUUGUACCAUCCAUUGUAGCACGUGUGUAGCCCAGGUCAUAAGGGGCAUGAUGAUUUGACGUCAUCCCCACCUUCCUCCGGUUUGUCACCGGCAGUCACCUUAGAGUGCCCAACUGAAUGCUGGCAACUAAGAUCAAGGGUUGCGCUCGUUGCGGGACUUAACCCAACAUCUCACGACACGAGCUGACGACAACCAUGCACCACCUGUCACUCUGUCCCCCGAAGGGGAACGUCCUAUCUCUAGGAUUGUCAGAGGAUGUCAAGACCUGGUAAGGUUCUUCGCGUUGCUUCGAAUUAAACCACAUGCUCCACCGCUUGUGCGGGCCCCCGUCAAUUCCUUUGAGUUUCAACCUUGCGGUCGUACUCCCCAGGCGGAGUGCUUAAUGCGUUUGCUGCAGCACUAAAGGGCGGAAACCCUCUAACACUUAGCACUCAUCGUUUACGGCGUGGACUACCAGGGUAUCUAAUCCUGUUCGCUCCCCACGCUUUCGCGCCUCAGUGUCAGUUACAGACCAGAAAGUCGCCUUCGCCACUGGUGUUCCUCCAAAUCUCUACGCAUUUCACCGCUACACUUGGAAUUCCACUUUCCUCUUCUGCACUCAAGUUCCCCAGUUUCCAAUGACCCUCCACGGUUGAGCCGUGGGCUUUCACAUCAGACUUAAGGAACCACCUGCGCGCGCUUUACGCCCAAUAAUUCCGGACAACGCUUGCCACCUACGUAUUACCGCGGCUGCUGGCACGUAGUUAGCCGUGGCUUUCUGGUUAGGUACCGUCAAGGUACCGGCAGUUACUCCGAUACUUGUUCUUCCCUAACAACAGAGUUUUACGAUCCGAAAACCUUCAUCACUCACGCGGCGUUGCUCCGUCAGACUUUCGUCCAUUGCGGAAGAUCCCUACUGCUGCCUCCCGUAGGA
rnacentral:rRNA from 1 species